rnacentral:rRNA from 1 species
AUUGAACGCUGGCGGCAGGCCUAACACAUGCAAGUCGAACGAGUGGCGGACGGGUGAGUAAUGUCUGGGAAACUGCCUGAUGGAGGGGGAUAACUACUGGAAACGGUAGCUAAUACCGCAUACCAUCGGAUGUGCCCAGAUGGGAUUAGCUAGUAGGUGGGGUAAAGGCUCCCAUGGGCGACGAUCCCUAGCUGGUCUGAGAGGAUGACCAGCCACACGGGAAUUGAGAAAGGGUCAAGCCUCCUAGGGGAGGCAGCAGUGGGAAUUAUUGGACAAUGAGCGAAAGCCUGAUGCAGCCAGGCCGCGUGUAUGAAGAGGGCCUUCGGGUUGUAAAGUACUUUCAGCGGGGAGGCGUUACCCGCAGAAGAAGCACCGGCUAACUCCGUGCCAGCAGCCGCGGUAAUAC